rnacentral:rRNA from 1 species
CCGUAGGUGAACCUGCGGAGGGAUCAUUACCGAGUUUACAACUCCCAAACCCCUGUGAACAUACCUAUACGUUGCCUCGGCGGAUCAGCCCGCGCCCCGUAAAAAGGGACGGCCCGCCCGAGGACCCCUAAACUCUGUUUUUAGUGGAACUUCUGAGUAAAACAAACAAAUAAAUCAAAACUUUCAACAACGGAUCUCUUGGUUCUGGCAUCGAUGAAGAACGCAGCAAAAUGCGAUAAGUAAUGUGAAUUGCAGAAUUCAGUGAAUCAUCGAAUCUUUGAACGCACAUUGCGCCCGCCAGUAUUCUGGCGGGCAUGCCUGUUCGAGCGUCAUUUCAACCCUCAAGCUCAGCUUGGUGUUGGGACUCGCGGUAACCCGCGUUCCCCAAAUCGAUUGGCGGUCACGUCGAGCUUCCAUAGCGUAGUAAUCAUACACCUCGUUACUGGUAAUCGUCGCGGCCACGCCGUAAAACCCCAACUUCUGAAUGUUGACCUCGGAUCAGGUAGGAAUACCCGCUGAACUUAAGCAUAUCAAUAAGCGGAGGAA